rnacentral:rRNA from 1 species
AACGCGAAGAACCUUACCUACCCUUGACAUGUCAGGAAUCCCGUAGAGAUAUGGGAGUGCCGCAAGGAACCUGAACACAGGUGCUGCAUGGCUGUCGUCAGCUUCGUGUCGUGAUGAUGUUGGGUUAAGUCCCGCAACGAGCGCAACCCUUGUCAUUAGUUGCCAUCAUUUAGUUGGGCACUCUGGAGGGACCGCCGGCGGUAAGCCGGAGGAAGGUGGGGAUGACGUCAAGUCCUCAUGGCCCUUUCGGCCUGGGCUACACACGUGCUACAAUGGCGGCUACAGUUGGCAGCAACGGGGUGACCCUGAGCUAAUCCACAAAAGCCGUCUCAGUUCAGAUUGUACUCUGCAACCUCGGGUACAUGAAGGUGGAAUCGCUAGUAAUCGCAGAACAGCAGGCUGCGGUGAAUACUUGCCCGGGUCUUGUACACACCG